CGGUGUGUAGCGCAGCUUGGUAGCGCACUGUCAUGGGGUGUCAGGGGUCGUAGGUUCAAAUCCUAUCACACCGACCA
rnacentral:tRNA from 10 species